rnacentral:rRNA from 1 species
CCUACGGGAGGCAGCAGUGGGGAAUAUUGCACAAUGGGGGAACCCCUGAUGCAGCGACGCCGCGUGAGCGAUGAAGUCUCUCGGUAUUUAAAGCUCCAUUAGCAGGGAAGAAAAUGCCGGUACCUGACUCAGAAGCCCCGGCUAAUUACGUGCCAGCAGCCGCGGUAAUACGUAGGGGGCAAGCGUUAUCCGGAUUUACUGGGUGUAAAGGGAGCGUAGGCGGUCCUGCAAGCCAGGGGUGAAAGCCCGGGGCUCAACCCCGGGACUGCAUUUGGAACUGUAAGGCUAGAGUGUCGGAGAGGCAGGCGGAAUUCCUGGUGUAGCGGUGAAAUGCGUAGAUAUCAGGAGGAACACCGAUGGCGAAGGCGGCCUGCUGGACGAUGACUGACGUUGAGGCUCGAAAGCGUGGGGAGCAAACAGGAUUAGAUACCCGAGUAGUC